rnacentral:rRNA from 1 species
CCUACGGGAGGCAGCAGUGAGGAAUAUUGGUCAAUGGGCGCGAGCCUGAACCAGCCAAGUCGCGUGAGGGAAGACGGUCCUAUGGAUUGUAAACCUCUUUUGUCGGGGAGCAAAAGACGCCACGCGUGGCGUUCCGAGAGUACCCGAAGAAAAAGCAUCGGCUAACUCCGUGCCAGCAGCCGCGGUAAUACGGAGGAUGCGAGUGUUAUCCGGAGUUAUUGGGUUUAAAGGGUGCGCAGGCGGAAGAUCAAGUCAGCGGUAAAAGUGAGAGGCUCAACCUCUUCUAGCCGUUGAAGCUGGUUUUCUUGAGUGAGUGAGAAGUAGGCGGAAUGCGUGGUGUAGCGGUGAAAUGCAUAGAUAUCACGCAGAACUCCGAUUGCGAAGGCAGCAUACCGGCGCUCAACUGACGCUCAUGCACGAAAGUGUGGGUAUCGAACAGGAUUAGAUACCCUGGUAGUC